GGGGGGGGGGGGGGGGGGGGGGGGGGGGGGGAGGGCGGGCGGGCGGGCGAGGAGCUUGCUCCUCUGACGUUAGCGGCGGACGGGGGAGUAACACGUGGAUAAGCUACCUAUAAGACUGGGAUAACUUCGGGAAACCGGAGCUAAUACCGGAUAAUAUAUUGAACCGCAUGGUUCAAUAGUGAAAGACGGUUUUGCUGUCACUUAUAGAUGGAUCCGCGCCGCAUUAGCUAGUUGGUAAGGUAACGGCUUACCAAGGCAACGAUGCGUAGCCGACCUGAGAGGGUGAUCGGCCACACGGGAACUGAGACACGGUCCAGACUCCUACGGGAGGCAGCAGUAGGGAAUCUUCCGCAAUGGGCGAAAGCCUGACGGAGCAACGCCGCGUGAGUGAUGAAGGUCUUCGGAUCGUAAAACUCUGUUAUUAGGGAAGAACAAAUGUGUAAGUAACUAUGCACGUCUUGACGGUACCUAAUCAGAAAGCCACGGCUAACUACGUG
rnacentral:rRNA from 1 species